rnacentral:tRNA from 1 species
CGCACGUUAGCUCAGUGGAUAGAGCAGUAGCCUUCUAAGCUAUUGGUCGGGGGUUCAAAUCCCUCACGUGCGACCA